rnacentral:rRNA from 1 species
UGGGGAAUCUUCCGCAAUGGACGAAAGUCUGACGGAGCAACGCCGCGUGAGUGAUGACGGCCUUCGGGUUGUAAAGCUCUGUUAAUCGGGACGAAUGGUUCUUGUGCGAAUAGUGCGAGGAUUUGACGGUACCGGAAUAGAAAGCCACGGCUAACUACGUGCCAGCAGCCGCGGUAAUACGUAGGUGGCAAGCGUUGUCCGGAAUUAUUGGGCGUAAAGCGCGCGCAGGCGGAUCAGUCAGUCUGUCUUAAAAGUUCGGGGCUUAACCCCGUGAUGGGAUGGAAACUGCUGAUCUAGAGUAUCGGAGAGGAAAGUGGAAUUCCUAGUGUAGCGGUGAAAUGCGUAGAUAUUAGGAAGAACACCAGUGGCGAAGGCGACUUUCUGGACGAAAACUGACGCUGAGGCGCGAAAGCCAGGGGAGCGAACGGGAUUAGAUACCCCGGUAGUCCUGGCCGUAAACGAUGGGUACUAGGUGUAGGAGGUAUCGACCCCUUCUGUGCCGGAGUUAACGCAAUAAGUACCCCGCCUGGGGAGUACGACCGCAAGGUUG